rnacentral:RNase_P_RNA from 3 species
AAAGCAGGCCAGACAACCGCUGCCGCAGAUCUCCCGGGAUUUGGCGGGAGAGGAAAGUCCGGGCUCCACAGAGCAGGAUGCCGGCUAACGGCCGGACGCCGCGAGGCGAGGAACAGGGCCACAGAGACGAGCGUAUUCAGUUACGGUGAAACGCGGUAACCUCCAUCCGGAGCAACACCAAAUAGGCAGGCGAUGAAGCGGCUCGCUGAGUCUGCGGGUAGGUGGCUUGAGCCGGUCAGCAAUGACCGGCCUAGAGGAAUGGUUGUCCAUGACAGAACCCGGCUUAUCGACCAGCUUUUCCG